rnacentral:rRNA from 1 species
GAUGAACGCUGGCGGCGUGCUUAAUACAUGCCAGUCGAACGGAAAGGCCCUGAUCUUGUGGGGUGCUCGAGUGGCGAACGGGUGAGUAAAACGCGAGUAUCCUGCCCUUGUCUUUGGGAUAACUUCAGGAAACUGGGGCUAAUAUCGGAUAGGAGCUCCUGCUGCAUGGUGGGGGUUGGAAAGUUCCGGCGGUUGGGGCUGGACUGGAGGCUUACCAGCUUGUUGGUGGGGUAGUGGCUUACCAAGGCUUUGACGGGUAGCCGGCCUGAGAGGGUGACCGGCGACAUGGGGACUGAGAGACGGCCCAGACUCCAACGGGAGGCAGCAGGGGGGAAUAUUGCACAAUGGGCGGGAGCCUGAUGCAGCAACGCCGCGUGCGGAAUGACGGCCUUCGGGUUGUAAACCGCUUUCGCCUGUAACGAAGCGUGAGUGACGGUAAUGGGUAAAGAAGCACCGGCUAACUACGUG